rnacentral:rRNA from 1 species
UACGUAGGGUGCGAGCGUUGUCCGGAAUUAUUGGGCGUAAAGAGCUUGUAGGCGGUUUGUCGCGUCUGCUGUGAAAAUCCGGGGCUCAACCCCGGACUUGCAGUGGGUACGGGCAGACUAGAGUGUGGUAGGGGAGACUGGAAUUCCUGGUGUAGCGGUGAAAUGCGCAGAUAUCAGGAGGAACACCGGUGGCGAAGGCGGGUCUCUGGGCCGUAACUGACGCUGAGGAGCGAAAGCAUGGGGAGCGAACGGG